GUUCGACCCCCCGAAACUAGGCGAGCUACUUUUAAACAGCCUCAUGGGGCCAACCCGUCUCCGUAGUAAAGGAGUGGGAAGAUUUAAAAGUAGAGGUGACACACCUAUCGAGCUUAGAGAUAGCUGGUUAUUUAGGAAACGGAUUUAAGUCCACCUUUAAGUUUUUUCCUGUACUUCAAACACCCAAUAGACUUAAAAGCCAUUCAAAUAAGGUACAGCCUAUUUGAAUAGGGAGACAGCCCCCGAUACAGGGUAACACUUACCUUUAUGUGACCAGGUGGGCCUAAAAGCAGCCAACCUCCAAAAAGCGUCCAAGCUUCACCAUUAAACCGUUAAUAAUUCCACAAUUAGCUUUUAACCCGCAACCACUACUAAAUAACCCCAUAUACAUUAUGCGGAAUAUCAUGCUAGAACUAGUAACAAGAAUAAGAACUUCUCCUAAGUAUAAGCGUAAGCCAAAAUGAACUACUCAUUGGCACUUACCGCCACUAA
rnacentral:rRNA from 1 species